UACGAAGGGGGCUAGCGUUGCUCGGAAUUACUGGGCGUAAAGCGCACGUAGGCGGCUUUCUAAGUCGGGGGUGAAAUCCUGGAGCUCAACUCCAGAACUGCCUUUGAUACUGGAGAGCUUGAGUCCGGGAGAGGUGAGUGGAACUCCGAGUGUAGAGGUGAAAUUCGUAGAUAUUCGGAAGAACACCAGGUGGCGAAGGCGGCUCACUGGCCCGGUACUGACGCUGAGGUGCGAAAGCGUGGGGAGCAAACAGG
rnacentral:rRNA from 1 species